CUCUAAUUAAAGUAGGUUUGAGCAUGUGCAGUGGCACAUGCCUGUAAUCCCAGCAGUUGGGGAGGCUGAGGCAGGAGGAU
rnacentral:miRNA from 1 species